CGCGUAGGCGGCUUUGCAAGUCGGGUGUGAAAUCCCCAGGCUUAACCUGGGAACUGCUCUCGAGACUGCAUCGCUAGAGUAUGGGAGAGGGAAGUGGAAUUUCAGGUGUAGCGGUGAAAUGCGUAGAUAUCUGAAGGAACAUCAGUGGCGAAAGCGACUUCCUGGACCAAUACUGACGCUCAUGUGCGAAAGCGUGGGGAGCAAACA
rnacentral:rRNA from 1 species